GGGCCUCCAGAUAUGACCUAAUCAACGGUCAGCUCCUGUGCACCCCACACCUUGUUCCUCUAGCCAUUCGGCCUACUAGACUCUGGUUUGGAGUUUGCUCUCAGAACCCUUCUCUAGCGGCCCUGAAUUCUUCCAUUCCCAUAGGAAGCCCGCCAUCUGUUCAUCAACUGGAGUCCCUGAAGGAGCAGCUGCAGCCUCUCUCUGAGUCUGAAUGGUAGUGCACACACGCCAGUCCGUGCCACGUGUAAGUGCGCGCCCGUGGACUCUCACACCCAAGUGCGCGCCCGCGGACUCUCAUACCCAAGUGUGCGCCUGCGGACUCUCAUGCCGAGGACGUUCAGCUUCUCAGUUGUCACACCUGCCAGGUCUUUAUCCACCUCACACCUGAACUGAGCUGGGCCGUUGAAAACUAUUGUGCGUGGGAAAUCUGCAAGUCAGGGCGAUGCCUGUGGCUCAAAGAGUGGGGUGCCGGUCCCAUAUACCGGAGGUGGUAGGUUCAGCCCUGGCCAAAAACUGAAAAAUAUA